rnacentral:rRNA from 1 species
AAACCCCUUUUUGGGGGGGAAGAAUUUCUUUGUUGGACGAACAAUUGGACGGAAAAUGACGGGUACCCCCGAAAGGAAGCACCGGGCUAACUUCUGUGCCAGCAGCCGCGGUAAGACAGAGGGUGCGAGCGUUGUUCGGAAUUACUGGGCGUAAAGGGCGCGUAGGCGGCCUGCUAAGUUCGGUGUGAAAGCCCUCGGCUCAACCGAGGAAGUGCGCCGGAUACUGGCAGGCUCGAGUACCGGAGAGGAGGGUGGAAUUCCUGGUGUAGCGGUGAAAUGCGUAGAUAUCAGGAGGAACACCGGUGGCGAAGGCGACCCUCUGGACGAGUACUGACGCUGAGGCGCGAAAGCGUGGGGAUCAAACAGGAUUAGAUACCCUGGUAGUCCACGCUGUAAACGAUGGGGACUAGGUGUGGGGGGUAUUGACCCCUCCCGUGCCGACGCUAACGCAUUAAGUCCCCCGCCUGGGGAUUACGGCCGCAAGGUUAAAACUCAAAGGAAUUGACGGGGGCCCGCACAAGCGGUGGAGCAUGUGGUUCAAUUCGACGCAACGCGCAGAACCUUACCUGGGCUAGACAACGGAGGACAGUCCCAGAGAUGGGAUCUUCUCUUCGGAGACCUCCGGAUCAGGUGCUGCAUGGCUGUCGUCAGCUCGUGUCGUGAGAUGUUGGGUUAAGUCCCGCAACGAGCGCAACCCCUGUCCUUAGUUGCCCCCGGGUCAUGCCGUGGCACUCUAAGGAGACUGCCGGCGUUAAGCCGGAGGAAGGUGGGGAUGACGUCAAGUCCUCAUGGCCCUUAUGUCCAGGGCUACACACGUGCUACAAUGGGCGGUACAAAGGGAUGCAACCUCGCAAGAGUGAGCCAAUCCCAAAAAGCCGCUCUCAGUUCGGAUUGCAGUCUGCAACUCGACUGCAUGAAGGUGGAAUCGCUAGUAAUCGCGGAUCAGAACGCCGCGGUGAAUACGUUCUCGGGCCUUGUACACACCGCCCGUCACACCAUGGAAGCCAGUUGUACCGGAAGCCGGUGCGCCAACCCGCAAGGGAGGUAGCCGUCCAUGGUAUGACUGGUGACUGGGGUGAAGUCGUAACAAGGUAACCGUA